rnacentral:rRNA from 1 species
AUUGAACGCUGGCGGCAUGCCUUACACAUGCAAGUCGAACGGUAACAGGUCUUCGGAUGCUGACGAGUGGCGAACGGGUGAGUAAUACAUCGGAACGUGCCUAGUAGUGGGGGAUAACUACUCGAAAGAGUGGCUAAUACCGCAUGAGAUCUACGGAUGAAAGCAGGGGAUCGCAAGACCUUGCGCUACUAGAGCGGCCGAUGGCAGAUUAGGGAGUUGGUGGGAUAAAAGCUUACCAAGCCGACGAUCUGUAGCUGGUCUGAGAGGACGAUCAGCCACACUGGGACUGAGACACGGCCCAGACUCCUACGGGAGGCAGCAGUGGGGAAUUUUGGACAAUGGGCGCAAGCCUGAUCCAGCAAUGCCGCGUGCAGGAUGAAGGCCUUCGGGUUGUAAACUGCUUUUGUACGGAACGAAAAGCCCCGGGUUAAUACCCUGGGGUCAUGACGGUACCGUAAGAAUAAGCACCGGCUAACUACGUGCCAGCCGCCGCCGUAA